UACGUAGGGGGCAAGCGUUGUCCGGAAUCAUUGGGCGUAAAGAGCGUGUAGGCGGCCCGGUAAGUCCGCUGUGAAAGUCCAGGGCUCAACCCUGGGAUGCCGGUGGAUACUGUCGGGCUCGAGUCCGGAAGAGGCGAGUGGAAUUCCUGGUGUAGCGGUGAAAUGCGCAGAUAUCAGGAGGAACACCAAUGGCGAAGGCAGCUCGCUGGAACGGUACUGACGCUGAGGCGCGAAAGCGUGGGGAGCGAACAGG
rnacentral:rRNA from 1 species